rnacentral:lncRNA from 1 species
GACAAUACUAACCGACAUCUCAUGCAACUUCGCUUUCUUCUUGUCCUUCGACACUGCUUUCCAGGUACCCAACUUCAUAGAACAAUGGAUUCGCACUACGGACCCAACGUCGUGGCCUAACCCACUGUGCUGUUAAAAAAUAGACGCAGUAUGGUGUUCGAGGAUUCUACGUAAUGGUAAUGGUGAUCGGUCUUUCAGCAAACGUGUCACUUUCGCGGUCUUCAGUUGACACAUGGCUCUUAGGUGUUUUUCUUGACUACAAAGAAAAAUUUUACAGUAAAAAACAAACUUAAAAUCCUACUGAAAUUUCAGCAGAACCUUCCUUAAAAGUAUAACCUUUCUCAUAAUCUGCAAACAAUAAUACAACACUAAUACUCAUCCAACCAACAUUUCAACAUUUGUAUUUGUAGCAUGCAACCAAUUAUAAUCAUAAACAAAUAUUUUUAAUAUGCAACCAAUUAGAACAUCAACAAAUUUAUUUAAUAUUACCUGUCUGCAAUUUCUCUCCUUCGACUUUGGAUGCCGCAGGAGUUUGGUCUAGGUGGUCGCCAACACGGUGUCAUUGGUGAGUCCGAUGAGCACUCGUAUGUGGAUGCAUAUCGAAGCAGUUUAUGACGUGGGGGCCACAGAAACCGUGGGAGCAAUCGGUGUAACCAGUGUAGGCCCUACAAUCGGUGCAGCUCUACGGGCCGGAGUAGGAUGUGCGGGAGGUACCGGAGCGAGGUGCACUAUUAGCUAAGCGACGGAGAGAAAUCAAACGCGACAUUUAAGAAUUUUCAAUAACAAAAUAAUAAAUUAAUCCUAAAAUUAAAAAAUUAAACAUAGAACUAAAACCAUUAUCCUAAUAGGCCGCCCCACAUAUUGUUGAAUGGGUAAUGCUAAGGAGAUUAAAUUUGCAAACAAAAUUUCGGAAACUAAAAGACAUGGAAAUUGAUGAUUGAUUUAUUACUUAAACGUUGAUAAACGUGCUCAUUCAUAUUGGUGACAUAUUAGUUUGCAAAUUUUCUCCCUAGCAUUUCCCUGAAGAAUACAUCCCACAUACUUAAUACACUCUAUAUUUGUUUGUUUGUUUUUUAAUUAAAAACUAUCCUAAUGCACCCCCCAUCCUUUCCCAUAACACCUCACACUCUACGUUCUCAACAUAUACCUUAUAUUUUCUACAUACACACCACAUCCUAGUAAGGGUGGGCAUGGGCCGGGCCGGGCCUAAAAUUGAAAGAACCAAACCGGACCCAUUUGUAGACAAAACGGGGUGGGUUUUGGAGUUUUCAAAAUGGGAUCCAGACCUAACCUGGACCGUUGAAACGAGCCAGUUCCUACGGGUCCCCACGAAUCCAAAUCUUCACUCACGCUUAACUUAAGUCUGGUCUUCGCAUCCUGUUCAUUCCCCUCCCCAGCGUCUUCGCUGACGCCUUGAGCAAAUCCUCCAGACUGUAACCCAUCUGAUGAUCCAAAAAAAACCCAUCUUUUUUCAUUUUCUUUUUUUUGCAUUGACAAAUUAAAAGAUAUUGAACUAUUAUGAUACAGCAACAACAUUUUCCUUCUCAUUAGAUCCAUAAAACUCGACGAGUCUCUGCAAAAUCACGACCUGGGUCCACAGCAGAACGAUGUAAUCCGCCGUUUCCUGGAACAAUUUGUCGACUUUUAGUGAUUUUCUGACGUGGGUCAGAUUAACGAGGGUUUACAGCGUCUCCAACUUGGCCGAGACUACCUUCGAGCAACGCCGUUUGCAAUCGCCGCUGUUGAAGCUUCUAACCGGAGCUCGACACUGGCGCGACAUGUCUUCUUCUCGAGGUGGGGUGUGGGUGUGGGUGUGGUGUGUCUGUGCUCCAGGAAGGAGAGUUGCAUAGAUGGGGGGAGAAGAAACAAAGAAGAGGAAUGAGGGAGAGGGUUCAAGAGAUUAGGGGAACAAAAUGAAGUGGGGUGCGUGUGUGUGAAGUGUUCUUGAGAAUGAGAACUGUCACGGGGAGGAACAAAGGAAAUGGGCCUGGGAGACAGUACCCAACACAGGGGUAUUUUUGUAAAUUGGUCAGUUUGGGUACCUAUUUUCCUAUACUUUUAGAACCGGCCCGAACCUAAAAUUUCAAAACCCCGCCCUGCCCCACCCCCGUUUCUCUUUUUUAAAAUUAGGAACCAGCCCGUACCCGUCCCGACCCACAGUUCCUGUACCCAUUUGCCCACCCCUACAUCCUAUAAUACUCAUUUUUAAUUAUUGUAAACUAAAUUGACUUGGGAGUAAAGCCCUAUCUGAGCAACUGAGGUUUGAUGACCUGUAGGAAUUGGUCGGCAUUCUAAAUUAGGCCUCAAAUGAUCGACUUAGAUAUAAGUUAAGGAGAAAACUAGUGCUUGCAUCUCAAAGUGUUCUAUUGUGAAGGAUUUUGACUACAAAAUACUCACUGCGUAUAAAGACUUACUACCAAAGACCUCCCCGUUCAUAUAUUAACAGAACCCAGACUUCUAGAAUUUCCAAUCACAAAAAUGAGAAUGCAUGAAAAUACCAUGCAUAAAGUAUGGAAGGUAUGAGAAAACCCAAUAAAAUGGGAAAAGAAGGAGAAAAAUAAACACAAAUGUCUUGUGUUGAUUAUUUUCUCUUUAAAUUGUUGAGAAGGUUCUGCAUGACCAUGGUGCAGAUACAACUCAUGACUGGAGGCACUUGGAAUGAUAUGACAUACAACCUUAAAUUCCUUCUAAUAGCUUGAACACACAACAAAAUAUUAUUGUUUCUCAGGAAUCGCCUGCAGGUAUUUGCAGUAUAUGUAAUUCACAAAUUCAGACUACUUAAAAGCUUCAUCGUUCAUGAAACGAAUCCGAUCCUACCCUAAAUUCUCUCAACCGAAGGACUAAUCUCUCACUUUAUAUAGGGAGAUGUUGUUGAAAUCACUUUAAAAAUGAAAAAUAAGGAGUCUUACCUCAUGUGAAGUUUCCAAAACAUCGAUUUCGUGUUUCAUUCGUAAAAAUUAUUUUUUCUUAAUCAACAUGUUAGUUUUAUUGAUUAGAAUUUUAUUCUACAAUGGAGGGUGAGAGGGGUUUUGAGAAUUGAAGAAGAUAAAUAAUACUUUAAAGGUGAUUUGGGUUGUAUUUAGAAAUUUCUUAUUUUUUUAAAACCUUAUAAGGUCGAAAUUGUCAUUGCAUAGUAGGGUAUGUAAGUCUUUUAAUAUU